AUGGGAGGAUGCACAGAAAAUCUGCAAUGUUCCAUCUAUAGACGACAUCAUGUACUGGAAGGGAGAUGAUACUAAACUACCUAAAACAUUCACCGCAUGGACGUCGUCACGGAAUCGUACAUCAGAUUGGACAUAUUUUUUUGGUUGCCUAGACGUAUCAAUCAUGAUCGUUAAAAGGGAUGCAAUAAAGAAAACAUUAAACGAAUAUUUUCCUGAAAGUAUAUAUGCCAUCAAAUCCGACAGCGUAUUCAAAUGUGCAUAUUUUUGUACAACACGGAGCGAUUUCUUUUCAUUUUUUAAAAACGUAUGCAAGUGUAUUCAUAUGUACGAAUUUAAAUCAGAGUUGGAGGAGAUGCCUGUUUGUAUUGUUUGGACACCAACUGUAAACAAUGUUGAUCAAUCGUAUUCGAUAUCGCGUUCUACGCUUCCAAUUUUCAGAUUUA